rnacentral:misc_RNA from 1 species
UUGAAACCUACAUGUAUCCUUAGCAUCUACCAUGGUAGUAUGGUAAACAUGAGUAUCAUAAGGUUAUCUUGGCUGUUGGAUUUUUUUUGUUCGAAAUUUGGUGGUAAAAAAAAAGAAGAAAAGAUUGACAAAAUUAAAUGAACAAAAUUUUCUAUGUUACAUAUUCUGUAUGGAAAGUAAAAAAAAAUUGAAUUUCUGAAGGACUAUUCAAUCUAAUUAAAAUUAGAUCUUAGAUCCACUCAUACGAUCGCUACACUAAGAUAAAACAUAUCGUAGAGGAGCAGAUAUACAAGUCUAAUUUUAAUUAGAUUGAGGUACUAUUAUACACCAUUUUUUUAAGCCAAUUUUACGACUAUUCCAAGUAUCCCAACAGCAAUCUAACCUGAUUUACUAUGGAGGUUGAGUGUCAAAAUAUCUUCUCAUCAAAGGAUUAAUAAAACAUUUUGAAAGAGUUGUACAUGUAUAUCUAUAAGCAAAUUUUGUGUCAACUUGCAAAAUUUAUUUAUUGGUAACUUUUUCUAGCAUGAGUAUAUAUGUUAAUUUUGAGAACAUGUUCAAGGCAUUUCAUGUAUGGCUGCUCAUUAACUGUAAUAUGUGUUGGGGUUUAAUGACCAUGGUAUAUAUGUGUUCUAAUAAUUGCCAUUUUUAUUUUAAAAAAAAAUUAUUAAAAAAAAGUACCAGUCCACGUAACAUUGUCUUGAAAUCUCUCAAUAAAAAUUUUUUUUGUGUGCAGUGCUUUCAGUGAAAAUGACAAUAGCCUAGCAAAUUAAAAUCUGACAGUAGGUUAUGAAAAAUUAACAGAUAGGAUACAAAUUAAUGUUAUAUAGUGGGUGAAUUUGUUUUGACAAAUUGCGUUAAGAAAGAUUAUUGUAGACAUACUUGAUUUUUUUUUUACAACUGUUUGUUAGAGGUGUCCAGGUGUCAGUUGAAAUCCGUUUUAUGUUAUCUGUAUAGUUAUGCAUUCCUUUGUGUGAUCUUUGAUCAAUUCUUUGACUUCCAUUGUGGAGCCAUUGAAGGACUUCAGGGUCAACAGGAUGAGGAAUUGCUAGAAUUCUUUUGUUUCAUUUUUUUCCUUUCAUCUAAUGUUUGAGGCUUAGCCACUAAUGUAUGUGUCACAUAUCAUUUCAUUUGUAGAUAUCUUCUGUUAACAACUUACUUGGUCUAUACCUUUAUCUUAAGGGUUAUUGAUUGAUGAUUUUCUUUUGGUAUAUUGACAAGUUAUUAUAAUAUAGCAUUUGAUGUAAUGUGCAAGCAUGUAUAUACAUGUAUGUGGCGUAUCUUAACAUGAUAAAGAUUGUUCAACUUUCAGUUAUCUCUGUUUUACAUUCCUUAACUUUUCUCAUUAAGUAUUAUAAAUAAUGGAAAGAUAGAAAUGAAUAGAUUUUCUGUUUUUUUUAUUGUUUGAAGAGUUUCAUUGUAAACGAGUAAAAUAUAUACGAAUGCAUAUAUUUUUCAUACAUGUACAAACUAAAUAGUUUGUAAAUAUAAUUGAAAUUAUUUAUCAACUGUUUUGUAGUAGAGAGAGUAUGUAUAGGCCUUUUACAUACCAUGUGGGUAAUAAUUUGCAAGUUUAUAAAUAUAUCGAAAUAAAUUUGUGAAAAAUU